rnacentral:rRNA from 1 species
AGAGUUUGAUCAUGGCUCAGAUUGAACGCUGGCGGCAGGCCUAACACAUGCAAGUCGAGCGGAUGAGAAGAGCUUGCUCUUCGAUUCAGCGGCGGACGGGUGAGUAAUGCCUAGGAAUCUGCCUGGUAGUGGGGGACAACGUUUCGAAAGGAACGCUAAUACCGCAUACGUCCUACGGGAGAAAGCAGGGGACCUUCGGGCCUUGCGCUAUCAGAUGAGCCUAGGUCGGACUAGCUAGUUGGUGAGGUAAUGGCUCACCAAGGCGACGAUCCGUAACUGGUCUGAGAGGAUGAUCAGUCACACUGGAACUGAGACACGGUCCAGACUCCUACGGGGAGGCAGCAGUGGGGAAUAUUGGACAAUGGGCGAAAGCCUGAUCCAGCCAUGCCGCGUGUGUGAAGAAGGUCUUCGGAUUGUAAAGCACUUUAAGUUGGGAGGAAGGGCAUUAACCUAAUACGUUAGUGUUUUGACGUUACCGACAGAAUAAGCACCGGCUAACUCUGUGCCAGCAGCCGCGGUAAUACAGAGGGUGCAAGCGUUAAUCGGAAUUACUGGGCGUAAAGCGCGCGUAGGUGGUUUGUUAAGUUGGAUGUGAAAGCCCCGGGCUCAACCUGGGAACUGCAUCCAAAACUGGCAAGCUAGAGUACGGUAGAGGGUGGUGGAAUUUCCUGUGUAGCGGUGAAAUGCGUAGAUAUAGGAAGGAACACCAGUGGCGAAGGCGACCACCUGGACUGAUACUGACACUGAGGUGCGAAAGCGUGGGGAGCAAACAGGAUUAGAUACCCUGGUAGUCCACGCCGUAAACGAUG